CUCAUUCAUGACUCCUGUCAGAAAAGAGGAGGAGGGUCAGAUAUUUUUUUUGCUGCAUUGUUUACAGCCGCACGAGUUAAAAACGCAGAUUCAGCUCAGAAAUGAAGCUAGUUUUGAUAGUGCUUUUAUUAUUCCAUGAUUUUUCAGAUGCUGUAAAUAUUCACCAGCCUCCAUCUGAGUUGGUCAGAGAUGGAGAACAGAGUGUGACCCUCAAGUGUGAGCAGGACAGUGAUCAGAUUUACUACAUGUACUGGUACAGACAAGCAAGUAGUGGGGAAAUGGAGUUAGUGGCGUAUUCUGCUAGUAAAGAUGCAUCAAGCAUUGAAGCUCCAUUCAACAACUCUAAAUACACCAUGACCCGUCGAGAGCUGCGGAGAACUGAGCUGCAGAUUCACCCUGCUGAGGCCAAAGACUCUGCUGUGUAUUACUGUGCUUCCAGGACAGGGGGCCACGGUGAUACAACCCCAUAGAGCCGCCGUACAAAAACCUCCUUCCAUUAACAUCCAUGAUGUAGGCGAAUGAGUGGAUCUCAGAAGGCCUCAGAGAGCAGGAAAAGGGUCAAUCUGAAGGUGGGCAGGAUGGAGGCUCAGCUUGGCCUUAAAAACCGAUCUAAUAUGUAGAAUCUGGAUCAGAAACAUGUUUUAGAAAGAGAUGUUUGACUUUGUUUGUGGAGCGUUUGGAUCAUGGGUUCCUCAUCUAAAACAUUACAGCUUCUUUAAACAUUAUGAAGCUCAUCCUGCAUGUUUAACCCUCCCUGAUAAUCUGUGUUA